rnacentral:rRNA from 1 species
CUACGGAGGAUGCAAGCGUUAUCCGGAUUUAUUGGGUUUAAAGGGUUCGUAGGCGGAAAAUUAAGUCAGUGGUGAAAGCCUGCAGCUCAACUGCAGAACUGCCAUUGAUACUGAUUUUCUUGAAUUUAUAUGAAGUGGGCGGAAUGCGUCAUGUAGCGGUGAAAUGCACAGAUAUGACGCAGAACACCAAUUGCGAAGGCAGCUCACUAAUGUAAUAUUGACGCUGAGGAACGAAAGCAUGGGGAGCGAACAGGAUUAGAAACCCUAGUAGUCC